AGUCUUCUGUAUCCGCGCUGAGAUUUUGUCACAUACCAGAUCACAGGGGCUGAUGUGACUCCCAAGAUAAGUGAAGCG
rnacentral:pre_miRNA from 1 species